CUGGACUUGGACACAACAAAGUAGUUGAGAUGUAUGCAAAUUUUUAGGAUGUUGUAAUUUCAAUGGAGCUUUCCUUUCAGUCAAUUGUAACACAUUUACUCCUAAAGCAGGUCUUAAGAUAAUACAGUCGUACAUGGAAGGUUAUCGACAAGACUGGAAACUUUCAUCUGAAAAGGACACUGUGUCCAGAGGUGGCUGGCAGCAAGGUGGAAUUAUAGUUGCUGGUCCUGGUAAAACAAAUAUCUCAUACAUCCAUAAGGAUAAAGAAGCAGGAGAUGAUCCAGAUAUUGAAGACAUAUUGAAAGCUUGUUGCUCGUGAAGGAAAUGGCACAUUCUUUUAGUGGCGGCUUUAGGAUUUAGGAUCAAUGAUCCAGUUAUACCUAGUUGCUUCUUGCUCAUCGAGGUCUAAGAAUUGAGCUAUAAAGUCAAUGUCCAUGAUUAUUUAUCAAUGUGAAAUAAUUUAGCCACAUCAUUGGUUUUUUUAUAAGGUUGAGUUUAUAAUAGCUGCAAUUAGGGGUGAAAUUUAUAAUAG
rnacentral:misc_RNA from 1 species